rnacentral:rRNA from 1 species
GACGAACGCUGGCGGCGUGCUUAACACAUGCAAGUCGAACGGAAAGGCCCUGCUUUUGCGGGGUGCUCGAGUGGCGAACGGGUGAGUAACACGUGAGUAACCUGCCCUUGACUUUGGGAUAACUUCAGGAAACUGGGGCUAAUACCGGAUAGGAGCUCCUGCUGCAUGGUGGGGGUUGGAAAGUUUCGGCGGUUGGGGAUGGACUCGCGGCUUAUCAGCUUGUUGGUGGGGUAGUGGCUUACCAAGGCUUUGACGGGUAGCCGGCCUGAGAGGGUGACCGGCCACAUUGGGACUGAGAUACGGCCCAGACUCCUACGGGAGGCAGCAGUGGGGAAUAUUGCACAAUGGGCGGAAGCCUGAUGCAGCAACGCCGCGUGCGGGAUGACGGCCUUCGGGUUGUAAACCGCUUUCGCCUGCGACGAAGCGUGAGUGACGGUAAUGGGUAAAGAAGCACCGGCUAACUACGUG